rnacentral:rRNA from 1 species
AGGCUUAUCUCCCCCAAGAGUCCACAUCGACGGGGAGGGUUGGCACCUCGAUGUCGGCUCAUCACAUCCUGGGGCUGUAGUAGGUCCCAAGGGUUGGGCUGUUCGCCCAUUAAAGUGGUACGCGAGCUGGGUUCAGAACGUCGUGAGACAGUUCGGUCCCUAUCCGUCGCAGGCGUAGGAAAUUUGAGAAGACCUGUCCUUAGUACGAGAGGACCGGGAUGGACGUACCUCUGGUGUACCAGUUGUCCUGCCAAGGGCAUGGCUGGGUAGCUAUGUACGGAAUGGAUAAGCGCUGAAAGCAUCUAAGCGCGAAGCCAACUUCAAGAUAAGAUUUCCCACCGCAAGGGUAAGACCCCAGAAAGACUAUCUGGUUGAUAGGUCGAAGGUGUAAGUGCAGCAAUGUAUUUAGCUUAUCGAUACUAAUAGGUCGAGGACUUGACCAAU